rnacentral:lncRNA from 1 species
CUAUAACCACUGAACCAUGAAAAUGAGGUCAAGGUCAGAUGACACCUGCCAGUUGGACAUGUACACCUUACAGUCCUUCCAUACACUGAAUAUACUAGACCUAUUGCUUAUAGUAUCUGAGAUAUGGACUUGACCACUAAAACUUAACCUUGUUCACUGAUCCAUGAAAUGAGGUCGAGGUCAAGUGAAAACUGUCUGACGGGCAUGAGGACCUUGCAAGGUACGCACAUACCAAAU